rnacentral:rRNA from 1 species
AACGAACGCUGGCGGCAGGCUUAACACAUGCAAGUCGAACGGACGUAGCAAUACGUUAGUGGCAGACGGGUGAGUAACGCGUGGGAAUAUGCCCUUUAGUUCGGAAUAACCAAGGGAAACCUUGGCUAAUACCGGAUAAGCCCGAGAGGGGAAAGAUUUAUCGCUGAAGGAGUAGCCCGCGUCUGAUUAGCUAGUUGGUGAGGUAAUGGCUCACCAAGGCGACGAUCAGUAGCUGGUCUGAGAGGAUGAUCAGCCACACUGGGACUGGGACACGGCCCAGCCUCCUACGGGAGGCAGCAAUGGUGAAUAUUGGACAAUGGGGGCAACCCUGAACCAGCCAUGCCGCGUGAGUGAUGAAGGCCUUAGGGUUGUAAAACUCUUUUAUCCGGGAAGAUAAUGACUGUACCGGAAGAAUAAGCCCCGGCUAACUUCGUGCCAGCCGCCGCUGUAAAAC